CCUACGGGAGGCAGCAGUGAGGAAUAUUGGUCAAUGGGCUUACGCCUGAACCAGCCAAGUCGCGUGAGGGAAGACUGCCCUAUGGGUUGUAAACCUCUUUUGUCAGGGAGCAACGCCGGCUACGUGUAGCCGGACUGAGAGUACCUGAAGAAAAAGCAUCGGCGAACUCCGUGCCAGCAGCCGCGGUAAUACGGAGGAUGCGAGCGUUAUCCGGAUUGAUUGGGGUUAAAGGGUGCGUAGGCGGAAUGCCAAGUCAGCGGUAAAAUCGCGGGGCUCAACCUCGCUCCGCCGUUGAAACUGGCGUUCUUGAGUGGGCGAGAGGUAUGCGGAAUGCGUGGUGUAGCGGUGAAAUGCGUAGAUAUCACGCAGAACUCCGAUUGCGAAGGCAGCAUACCGGCGCCCAACUGACGCUGAAGCACGAAAGCGUGGGUAUCGAACAGGAUUAGAUACCCCAGUAGUC
rnacentral:rRNA from 1 species